UACCGCGGGUUGUCGUGCCAAAGGGGUCGAAGUCACGACUGGCUCCGCAGGUAGAGGUGCGACCGUGAUCCGCCACACGUCCGAUCACAUUACCGUGUUCCAGGCUACUAGCUAUGCCUCUAACGGAACCCACGUGGCCGUCACCGAUUACAACUAGUACGGCACCUGCGGGGACUAACCACCAACCUCCUUCUCUGUCGUCUAAAACUGGGAACGCAACAUGGACGCCAACGCCAACUACGUACGCUCGACAACCCACCCCUGCUUUACAGCCACUGUCAACGAACAUGACGAAAACGACUAUAUAGCGACAAGGUCUACCCGGCCUCCAGGUUCGAGAGGAGCGGCCGUCGACGCGGUCUACCUCGAAGAAGGAGUUGAUACCACGGGCACUUCUUCCACGGGUGUGAGUUGUGCCGUAUGUUAAGCCCCUACGACGUAAGGUAGCGGCCUCUUACCUUAGGUUUGUAUUUUCCACACAAAAGGCCCUAUCCGUACCUCCUCAACACGUUCUAGUUCCUGUACCCGUUGUUAUUGGCAUAGAAAUCGUACAGGGACAAUCGAUCCUAUCUAGGAUUUCUAUACUUCUACCUAUACCCGCUACCCUUAGUACAACAACAGUUAAGAUCCCUCCACCGCUUUACAUAUCCCAACAGCGGCACACCAUCCUUCUAUCUAUAGGGCCCGCCCCGAACGAAUCGCUUGUCCCUUAGGAACGAUCUCUUGAACGUACGGUAGAAUCUGUGGUGAUACAGAUCCCGUUCAUCCUAGGGAUAGCAGUUUCACUUCUUUUAGUAUGUUUUGCGUUCGUUCCAUCGCUAACAUCCUCGUCUUUUCCUCUUCUACUACCACCGCACAUGUUAGUAUCGGCGAAGUUGUAAAGAGGACGGAUCCCCUCGUGUGGGAUUUUAACGUUUACUUGAUGAAGGCCAGGAUCGACUCGGCUGGGUCUAGAGGCUAAUGCUAAAGACACUAAUACAACACCUCCCCAACUCUCUCCCACGACGUUUCGAAUCCCUCCUAGAGGAUGUACUGGGUAGAGUCGACUCAGAGGUUCCCACGGAACAGUAGGGAGUCUAGUAAAAGACAAUAAUGGUACUUGUGCCCUACCUUGCUGCUCUCUUGGACGGCAAGGGAGCGAACCGGAGCAUGAGCCUAGACAAGUACUUUGACGUCUAAGCGUUCGUACGUCGAUCCGAACCACACCUUCGACCUAAACUCCGUCACCUACAGGGGUCCAGAGGCCGUUAGUUACAGCAAACACCCUCGCGUUGAGUUCGCGUUCCGACCCGGUACGGUCCAAGAUCACACGUACGAGGAGGAUGACCUAAAACACACCUGGUACGCUGUCUCUAUGGUCCUCUCUAAGAACUACGCAAAUCCCUCCGUCACCUCGUACCUGACUUCGUCGCAGUCGUCCUUAAGUAGUUUUACCACCUCUGUGAUCAGUUUCACGAACUUCUUUAGUUCUGGUUCCGACUACGAUUUGCCGUCUCUCUGGACCUCCUGUGUGAACCGCUAAAAUAGUUGGCUCACUUCUCCGUUCGAGGCUACCGACGGUGUAAAGGAUUACACUCGGUUUGGAACGUAGCCGGGUCCCGUUCAUGUCUAUAAUGCGUUCUAGACCGACUUUGGAGUUCCCUUCGACGAUCCCGAAACUACAGUCAUCAAAAUCAAUUACUUCUCUGCGCACCGUCUGGUCUCUGCUCACGCUACCCCCCACGUAGUUGCGGAUACGUUCCUUGACUGUAGUUGAGUGUUCGUCGUCACGUACGUUUACGUGCACCAUUUCUACAACGACACGUUCGACCAGAACUACUUGGUCACCUCUUCUGAUACUAGCACCUGUUGUUUCCUUUCCCCGGCCGACAACUGACGCGUGAACUGUUUGAUGGUACGUACUCCAGGACCCUCACCCUCCUCGAAGAAGAUCCCUAGUCCGACACGGACAGGUAGUGGUCCCCGUAACGGUGCUGGUAAGGGUAUACGUUGUCCUCCGAACGUGACGGACUAAUACCACUUGUCUCGGCCGGCCCGGGUGAACGCCAACAAGGACGAAACGGUGGACGGGCACUAAUACCCACUCCCUCAGGACCUGAUCCCCCACAGGCCUGUCGGCCUGAUAGUAGCAAUCGGCCUGAGGUUCUGAUACUUCUAUGUUCUAACUUCUGAAGCAGGGCACAGGCCUAUCCUGAAAAGAACCGCACCUUCCGUUCGAACCGCUAUGCCUAUACAUCUAGAGGAUGGUAACAUUGGCUGAGACACAUUGGGAUCGGGAGAGGCUACAGAUAUAUUUGACUUCCCAAAAUCAGGCAUCCUGCUGUUGGUAAUGUUGUUAGUAUGGUAUCCGAUCGAAGAUCCCAAAUCGGAGGAACUAGAGCACCAUCUAGGUGAGAACAUGAUGGGUAUAGUAGUUAUAGUUAGUUCGUCCUCAUCCCAAAAUGGAGG
rnacentral:rRNA from 1 species